rnacentral:rRNA from 1 species
GACGAACGCUGGCGGCGUGCUUAACACAUGCAAGUCGAACGGAAAGGCCCUGCUUUUGUGGGGUGCUCGAGUGGCGAUCGGGUGAGUAACACGUGAGUAACCUGCCCUUGACUUUGGGAUAACUUCAGGAAACUGGGGCUAUACCGGAUAGGAGCUCCUGCUGCAUGGUGGGGGUUGGAAAGUUUCGGCGGUUGGGGAUGGACUCGCGGCUUAUCAGCUUGUUGGUGGGGUAGUGGCUUACCAAGGCUUUGACGGGUAGCCGGCCUGAGAGGGUGACCGGCCACAUUGGGACUGAGAUACGGCCCAGACUCCUACGGGAGGCAGCAGUGGGGAAUAUUGCACAAUGGGCGGAAGCCUGAUGCAGCAACGCCGCGUGCGGGAUGACGGCCUUCGGGUUGUAAACCGCUUUCGCCUGUGACGAAGCGUGAGUGACGGUAAUGGGUAAAGAUGCACCGGCUAACUACGUG